AAAGGCUUAGGAUUAAUUCUCAGACCAAAGGCCUUCAAAGCCUUAAGCAGGUGCUAAAAUCACCUAGCCUUUG
rnacentral:tRNA from 1 species